AUGCCCGUCGCCCUUGGUCUCGUAGAACUCGAGCUCGCCGCCCCACCCGCACGCCUUGACCCCCGCCGCGUAGGCGCGCGACCUCUCCACGAACCAGCAGUGUUCCGCCGUGGCGACCAGCACACGGCCGCACCCGAGCUGGCUCAACUCCUCCGGCGACGCCGCGGGGUUGAUGUACGGGUGGUCGAGGCCGAGCUUACCUCCGCAGGCGACAUGCCAUACCUGGUCAAUGCCGCCGCGGAGGGCGCCGUCGGUGGGCUCCCCGCCGACCGGCUCUUUUCCCCAGAAGUAGGAGUGCAGGAGCGCGAUGCCGCUGACCUUAUCGCCGUACCCCUCGAUGCGUUCCUUCCGCAGCCUGGCCGCCGUGCGGUGCGCCAUGUUGGCGCCGGCGCUGUCGCCGGCGAGGACGACGCGGGACGCGUCGCCGUGCGCCGCGAGCCAGGGCUCGGCGCCGCGUGGCCGGCAGGAGGAGACGACGGCCUUGAGGGCCGCGAAGGCGUCCUCGUAGGCGGCCGGAACAGGGUGCUCCGGGGCGAGGCGGUAGUCAACGGAGACGACGAUAGCGGGGACCGCGGCGGCGAGGGAGGCGGCGUACUUGUGGUAGAGCGGGGAGGCAGCAGUGUAGAUCAUGAACGCGCCGCCGUGGAAGAACACGACCACAGGGAGCUUCUUGCCGGGCACCGCGGCGGCGGCGGCGGGGAGGUAGACGCGAGCAGCGAUGUUUGCCGCGGGGUCGAGGACGACGUCCUUGGAGGCGACGCCGUUGGCUGUGUCACCGGACGGCGAGGGCGGCACGGUCUCGGUGCCGUUCAAGCGCACGACGCGGCCGCUCUUGUGCACACGCACGACGCCGGGUAUCUCGUACUCGAUCUCGGAGCCGGGGUCGUCCAUGGCUGGGGUUGCGGCAGGCGGCAGUGA
rnacentral:rRNA from 1 species